GAUGAACGCUGGCGGCGUGCCUAACACACGCAAGUCGAGCGGCAGCGAGGGGUGCUUGCACCCUGUCGGCGAGCGGCGGACGGCUGAGUAACGCGUGGGAACGUGCCCCAAAGUGAGGAAUAACUGCCCGAAAGGGUAGCUAAUACCGCAUAUUAUCUUCGGAUCAAAGGAUUUAUCCGCUUUGGGAGCGGCUCGCGUCGGAUUAGGUAGUUGGUGAGGUAAUGGCUCACCAAGCCGACGAUCCGUAGCUGGUCUGAGAGGAUGACCAGCCAGACUGGAACUGAGACACGGUCCAGACUCCUACGGGAGGCAGCAGUGAGGAAUCUUCCACAAUGGGCGAAAGCCUGAUGGAGCAACGCCGCGUGCAGGACGAAGGCCUUCGGGUUGUAAACUGCUUUUAUAAGUGAGGAAUAUGACGGUAACUUAUGAAUAAGGAUCGGCUAACUACGUG
rnacentral:rRNA from 1 species